AGAAAUAUUAGAAAGUUCUCAGCUGACAUUGAAAAGUAGUUAAGCUCGUCUCUUCUUCCGACGUCUAGCAUUCAAUGCUCAUACAUCUCUUUUCUUCACCCCCACCACCAUCACCACUACCACCGCCAUUAUCUUCUUCUUCAUCGACGAACCAGAUCAAUGCCCUUCGUUAAAUCUCCUUCAUCAUCAUCAUCUUCUUCUUCUUCUUCUUCUUCUUCUUCCUGAAUAUCAUGUGUUAGGGUUUGGUGGCUUGUUUGAGCAUCAUCGAUUUGGGCUGUCAGAAAUCUAAUCAUUUGGCUUUUUUGAUCCGCCUCAACAUACUUUCCAGAAGUCUAGAUCUUGUUGCAGAUGCCCAUUAGAAUUUAGUUCGUUUAAUUCUAUAUAAAAAAUCUUUUCUACCACUAGGUGACUUAGGGGGGCUUCUUUCUCUCCACAUUUGCACCUUUUUCUUCCCUUGAUCCCAAACCGGCCAAACGCCAUGUCACUUAGGCUAGGAUGCCGAAUUGUUGUGCUUGAAAAUCGAACCAAUGAUGUGAUCGAAAUCAAAGUGGAUCAUGACGGCUAUUACACCGAUGCUUCAAUCCGCGUUUCAUCCGGCGGAACUGAAGAAUACCCGGCUGCUAAAUUUAUAAGGGAAUCUAGGACUUCGCUAACGCCUUUGACUCUGAAGGUUUAUAAAGGCGGAAAGUGCACAGGCCGGACAUUGAGACCGAGGGAUUUCACCUCCUAUGUGAAAAUCAUCUUUAGCGAUUUACCAGAUGGACGCCUGAGGAUCUGCGGCAUUGAAGAACAGGCCACUGAUUUAGGUCGAUUUAGGGGCUUGGGUUCUCUGCUAGGGAGGGACUACAGGGGGCGGCCGGAGAUAGAGUUAUAGUAUGAACGCAAAGAUGAGGAUAUCAUAGUCUGUUUGUUGGCACCGUUUAAUGACGCAUCUUAUUCAAGCCUCUAAGUUCCGGUUUCCUAUUUUGCAUUUAUGCUAUGGUUUCAAGUGUAUGUGGUAUGCUAAUGUUGGCUUUGUGUCAUAGAAAUAAAUUACUUAGUCUUUGUUUUGAUUGUCUAAUUUAGUGUACCCGAUAUUGGGCAUACAAGUUACAUCUUCCUUGCAGCUAAGCUAAUGUACAAUUUAUUGUUUCAACCAUAGUAAGGCAUUUUGUAAUAUUCGUAAGUGUUAUAAGUUCACCAUUUUU